rnacentral:rRNA from 1 species
AUUGAACGCUGGCGGCAGGCCUAACACAUGCAAGUCGAGCGGAUGAAGGGAGCUUGCUCCUGGAUUCAGCGGCGGACGGGUGAGUAAUGCCUAGGAAUCUGCCUGGUAGUGGGGGAUAACGUCCGGAAACGGGCGCUAAUACCGCAUACGUCCUGAGGGAGAAAGUGGGGGAUCUUCGGACCUCACGCUAUCAGAUGAGCCUAGGUUGGAUUAGCUAGUUGGUGGGGUAAAGGCCUACCAAGGCGACGAUCCGUAACUGGUCUGAGAGGAUGAUCAGUCACACUGGAACUGAGACACGGUCCAGACCCCUACGGGAGGCAGCAGUGGGGAAUAUUGGACAAUGGGCGAAAGCCUGAUCCAGCCAUGCCGCGUGUGUGAAGAAGGUCUUCGGAUUGUAAAGCACUUUAAGUUGGGAGGAAGGACAGUAAGUUAAUACCUUGCUGUUUUGACGUUCCCAACAAAAUAAGCCCCGGCUAACUUCGUG